CAUAGAUAUUGCAAGGGGCAAUGUCUGCCCCACACUGUUUACAGCAAAAAAAAGCCAGAUAAAAUAAGACAGAUAAAAGCUGGCUCGGCUGAAAACAUUUGAUGUGCAUCUCCAUAUUCCAUAUCUCUGCAGUGCAUAUGUUGUAAAGUUCCAUAAGUCCAACACAGGAAGUGUCCUGUACAACAUGUCUUUUUUAAGGUUCUAUUUCAAAUACGCAAUAAAUUCAGGGAGAAUUUGCCUGGAUAAAGACCAAGAAUAGAAAAACAACAGGCCAGAAGCCAUGCAGGAAGCAGCUCUACUGCACUUUA
rnacentral:lncRNA from 1 species